rnacentral:rRNA from 1 species
UUGAACGCUGGCGGCAGGCCUAACACAUGCAAGUCGAGCGGUAGCACAGAGAGCUUGCUCUCGGGUGACGAGCGGCGGACGGGUGAGUAAUGUCUGGGAAACUGCCUGAUGGAGGGGGAUAACUACUGGAAACGGUAGCUAAUACCGCAUAAUGUCGCAAGACCAAAGUGGGGGACCUUCGGGCCUCAUGCCAUCAGAUGUGCCCAGAUGGGGUUAGCUAGUAGGUGGGGUAACGGCUCACCUAGGCGACGAUCCCUAGCUGGUCUGAGAGGAUGACCAGCCACACUGGAACUGAGACACGGUCCAGACUCCUACGGGAGGCAGCAGUGGGGAAUAUUGCACAAUGGGCGCAAGCCUGAUGCAGCCAUGCCGCGUGUGUGAAGAAGGCCUUCGGGUUGUAAAGCACUUUCAGCGGGGAGGAAGGCGUUAAGGUUAAUAACCUUGGCGAUUGACGUUACCCGCAGAAGAAGCACCGGCUAACUCCGUGCCAGCAGCCGCGGUAAUACGGAGGGUGCAAGCGUUAAUCGGAAUUACUGGGCGUAAAGCGCACGCAGGCGGUCUGUCAAGUCGGAUGUGAAAUCCCCGGGCUCAACCUGGGAACUGCAUUCGAAACUGGCAGGCUAGAGUCUUGUAGAGGGGGGUAGAAUUCCAGGUGUAGCGGUGAAAUGCGUAGAGAUCUGGAGGAAUACCGGUGGCGAAGGCGGCCCCCUGGACAAAGACUGACGCUCAGGUGCGAAAGCGUGGGGAGCAAACAGGAUUAGAUACCCUGGUAGUCCACGCCGUAAACGAUGUCGAUUUGGAGGUUGUGCCCUUGAGGCGUGGCUUCCGGAGCUAACGCGUUAAAUCGACCGCCUGGGGAGUACGGCCGCAAGGUUAAAACUCAAAUGAAUUGACGGGGGCCCGCACAAGCGGUGGAGCAUGUGGUUUAAUUCGAUGCAACGCGAAGAACCUUACCUGGUCUUGACAUCCACAGAACUUUCCAGAGAUGGAUUGGUGCCUUCGGGAACUGUGAGACAGGUGCUGCAUGGCUGUCGUCAGCUCGUGUUGUGAAAUGUUGGGUUAAGUCCCGCAACGAGCGCAACCCUUAUCCUUUGUUGCCAGCGGUUCGGCCGGGAACUCAAAGGAGACUGCCAGUGAUAAACUGGAGGAAGGUGGGGAUGACGUCAAGUCAUCAUGGCCCUUACGACCAGGGCUACACACGUGCUACAAUGGCGCAUACAAAGAGAAGCGACCUCGCGAGAGCAAGCGGACCUCAUAAAGUAUGUCGUAGUCCGGAUUGGAGUCUGCAACUCGACUCCAUGAAGUCGGAAUCGCUAGUAAUCGUAGAUCAGAAUGCUACGGUGAAUACGUUCCCGGGCCUUGUACACACCGCCCGUCACACCAUGGGAGUGGGUUGCAAAAGAAGUAGGUAGCUUAACCUUCGGGAGGGCGCUUACCACUUUGUGAUUCAUGACUGGGGUG